ensembl:lncRNA
UUGUGCGACUUUAAAUUGCACAGCCGCUUAAACCAAAGCUCUUAAUGUGAGAAACGGAAGUGUGGAACUCUCCCCCCCCAUCUGUGACUUUACUCUGAGAGCGCUUUGCCCGUCAUACUCUGAACCACCGCAGAGUCAAGUGAGCCAUCUUUCAUCCAGCACUCUGGAAGAAUGAGGCUUCUUCAGCUGUUCGUAUUUGCGUCCUUCAUCUUCGCCGGUUGCAGUCAGGGACGGAUACCACAUGUGAGAGUUAUUUUAGGAGACCCGUUUACGCUUCCAGAAAACUGUCAGACCGAUGAAGAGGGUGAUCUGUACCGGCUUGAUCUUUACGGGACCCCCGAGGUGAAGGUGGCUGCCCACGAGCAAGGCGUGUGGACACCGACCGAGGUUUACCGAGAGCGCAUCGGUAACCACUCGUCGGUCGUGUUUAAUCCCGCAGUUUAUACCGAUACCGGCGUUUAUGAGCUACGAUGCGGCGCUCGGAGGGUGGAUGUUCAGGUCAAAGUUGUCAUGUCCUCUGAAAGAUGCGUCAGCGAGGGAGACGCGGUGAGCCUGUCCUGCUACUUUUCAACUACAGGGAAAGCGCGUUCGUCUGUGCGGUGGGAGAAAAACGGAGAAGACGUGUUAAAGCGGAAUUCCUGGGAAGACACCGGGGCUGCUGAGGGCAGACUGUCGCUGUCCCCGGAUUGGGUCUCACACGGAAACUUUUCUUUAACCUUGAAGCAAGCUCAGAAAGACGACCAGGGCGAUUACUUCUGCUACAUCCAAGAUGAAGUCGUGAUUGCUGUGAGGCUGACGGUCACCGGCCAGAGGAGCCCGGAUCAGAGCAGCAGCACCCGUCCUCCGUUUGUGCCUCCGGCACCGAGAGCCUGUGAAGAAAGUAGAAUUCUGCCUGCGGUGAUCAUUACAGCCGUGGUGUGUUUGCCUGUCGGCCUUUUGAUUGGCCGGUUAAUGACAUCAUGCUGCCCCAGAGGUGCCUCAUGCGGGCACUGUGGUGGACCCAAUGUAGCCUAGAUGGACCAUCAGAACCUCUCCUCUUCCUCCUCUUCAGCACAUCUGCCAGCAGCUGCCUCUCCUGCACAAUGCCAGCUUUUAUGAACGCGCUUUAGUGUUUAGUGUGCACUUUAAUAAUGCCAACGUUAGUCACAAAUGAUAACAAUGACCAUUCACAUAUGAUUUUAGAUUUGAUUUGUUUUAUUCUUAAAAU